GUCUAUGGCCAUACCACCCUGAACACGCCCGAUCUCGGAAGGUAAGCAGGGUCGGGCCUGGUUAGUACUUGGAUUGGAGAAAGUAGACUUUACAAUAUGUA
rnacentral:rRNA from 1 species